GUUUAAGGUGGAGUUUCUUCUGUAGUGGCAACAUAUGAAGGGUUGGAAACUUCCAUUAGCUGGAAAUCGAAAAUGCAAGAGUAUUUUAAGAUUUACCGCAUCAAACUUUAGGUUCCUAUAUCUAUAAACUAUAGACUGCUUGAUGAUCAAAGAGAGGGAGUGAGGUUUUGACAUGGUUUUCUCAACAACGAUCAUGGAGGCAUACUUGGAGAUGACAUAGAGGGAGCAACCAUACCUCGAGAAGGUUUAGAAGGGUGCAAGCGAAACACAGAGCAAUGAACAAUAUCAAUGAUUAUGCAGAAUCCCUCUUUCAGAUGUGCUCAGAAAAUGGUGCGGGGCCAGAAAGAGAUAAGCUUGAUUUUGAGUUUUUGGGGGAACAAAACAGGAGAACCUUAUUUGAUUCAGACUAAUGUAUACAAGAAUGGAACUCGUGGGCGUAAGAUGAGGCACAUGCUUUGGUUUGACCCCAUAGAGGACUACCACACCUAUUCCAUUCAACAAGAAUUAGAAUGAGAUCAUGUUAAAGAGGCAUUUGCUUAGUUGAUUCUAACUAAUUAAUUGCUAUAUAAUUUUAAUUUUUGGAGUUAUUUGCUGCUAGCUAGGGGACUUAUUAGGGAAUAAUUGAACAUGAACAUG